AGCGGCUUGCGGGCUGCUACACAUGCAGUCGGGCGGUAACAGGAAGCAGCUUGCUGCUUUGCUGACGAGCGGCGGAAGGGGAGUAAUGUCUGGGGAUCUGCCCGAUGGAGGGGGAUAACCACUGGAAACGGUGGCUAAUACCGCAUAACCUCUGAGGAGCAAAGUGGGGGACCUUCGGGCCUCACGCCAUCGGAUGAACCCAGAUGGGAUUAGCUAGUAGGUGGGGUAACGGCUCACCUAGGCGACGAUCCCUAGCUGGUCUGAGAGGAUGACCAGCCACACUGGGACUGAGACACGGCCCAGACUCCUACGGGAGGCAGCAGUGGGGAAUAUUGCACAAUGGGCGCAAUCCUGAUGCAGCCAUGCCGCGUGUAUGAAAAAGGCCUUCGGGUUGUAGAA
rnacentral:rRNA from 1 species